UACGUAGGGACCAAGCGUUGUUCGGAUUUACUGGGCGUAAAGGGCGCGUAGGCGGCGUGUUAAGUCAGCUGUGAAAUCUCCGAGCUUAACUCGGAACGGUCAGCUGAUACUGAUGUGCUAGAGUGCAGAAGGGGCAAUCGGAAUUCUUGGUGUAGCGGUGAAAUGCGCAGAUAUCAGGAGGAACACCGGUGGCGAAGGCGGUUCUCUGGGCAUUACCUGACGCUGAGGAGCGAAAGUGUGGGGAGCGAACAGG
rnacentral:rRNA from 1 species